rfam:Ictidomys tridecemlineatus contig091231, whole genome shotgun sequence.
CCAAAGGCUCUUUUCAGAGCCACCUAAGUGUUCCAAGGAAAGCAGCU